rnacentral:rRNA from 1 species
AUUGAACGCUGGCGGCAGGCCUAACACAUGCAAGUCGGGCGGAUGAAGGGAGCUUGCUCCUGGAUUCAGCGGCGGACGGGUGAGUAAUGCCUAGGAAUCUGCCUGGUAGUGGGGGAUAACGUCCGGAAACGGGCGCUAAUACCGCAUACGUCCUGAGGGAGAAAGUGGGGGAUCUUCGGACCUCACGCUAUCAGAUGAGCCUAGGUCGGAUUAGCUAGUUGGUGGGGUAAAGGCCUACCAAGGCGACGAUCCGUAACUGGUCUGAGAGGAUGAUCAGUCACACUGGAGCUGAGACACGGUCCAGACUCCUACGGGAGGCAGCAGUGGGGAAUAUUAGACAAUGGGCGAAAGCCUGAUCCAGCCAUGCCGCGUGUGUGAAGAAGGUCUUCGGAUUGUAAAGCCCUUUAAGUUGGGAGGAAGGGCAGUAAGUUGAUACCUUGCUGUUUUGACGUUACCAACAGAAUAAGCACCGGCUAACUUCGUG